GGAGAGGUGGCUGAGCGGUUUAAAGCGAUAGUCUUGAAAACUAUUGUGCUAGAAAUAGUACCGCGAGUUCGAAUCUCGCCCUCUCCGCCA
rnacentral:tRNA from 1 species